GACGAACCGUGCAAACGUUGUUCGGAAUCACUGGGCUUAAAGGGCGCGUAGGCGGGUGGCCAAGUCUGGGGUGAAAUCUUUCGGCUUAACCGGAAAAUAGCCUUGGAUACUGGCUGUCUUGAGGGAGGUAGGGGCAUGUGGAACUUCCAGUGGAGCGGUGAAAUGCGUUGAUAUUGGAAGGAACGCCGGUGGCGAAAGCGACGUGCUGGACCUCUUCUGACGCUGAGGCGCGAAAGCUAGGGGAGCGAACGGG
rnacentral:rRNA from 1 species